rnacentral:rRNA from 1 species
CUAUGUGUGGGCCAGUAGGCGAGGUAAUAAGUGGGGUUGGAGCGUUGUCGGGAAUUACUGUGCGGUAAGAGGGAGUGGGGGGUUUGGCGGGUCGUGUGUGAAAUUCCGGGGCUGAACUCCGGUCGUGCAGGCGAUACGGGCAGAACUUGAGUACUGUAGGGGAGACGGGAAUUCCUGGUGUAGCGGUGAAAUGCGCAGAUAUCAGGAGGAACACCGGUGGCGAAGGCGGGUCUCUGGGCAGUAACUGACGCUGAGGAGCGAAAGCAUGGGGAGCGAACAGGAUUAGAUACCCGUGUAGUC